rnacentral:rRNA from 1 species
UGGGGAAUAUUGGACAAUGGGCGAAAGCCUGAUCCAGCCAUGCCGCGUGUGUGAAGAAGGUCUUCGGAUUGUAAAGCACUUUAAGUUGGGAGGAAGGGCAGUUACCUAAUACGUAUCUGUUUUGACGUUACCGACAGAAUAAGCACCGGCUAACUCUGUGCCAGCAGCCGCGGUAAUACAGAGGGUGCAAGCGUUAAUCGGAAUUACUGGGCGUAAAGCGCGUGUAGGUGGAUGAAUAAGUUGGAUGUGAAAGCCCCGGGCUCAACCUGGGAAUGCCAUUCAAAACUGUUCAUCUAGAGUAUGGUAGAGGGAAGUGGAAUUUCAGGUGUAGCUGUGAAAUGCGUAGAUAUCUGAAGGAACACCAGUGGCGAAGGCGGCUUCCUGGACCAAUACUGACACUGAGACGCGAAAGCGUGGGGAGCAAACAGGAUUAGAUACCCCCGUAGUCCCUGAGCGGGCUGGCAAGGCGCAU